GAGAAAAUGGCAGAAUGUUAUGCGGUUGGCUUGAAACCAACAGAUGGGGGCUCAUAGCCUUCUUUUCUUG
rnacentral:tRNA from 1 species